rnacentral:rRNA from 1 species
UGAACGCUGGCGGCGUGCCUAAUACAUGCAAGUCGAGCGAACAGAUGAGGAGCUUGCUCCUCUGACGUUAGCGGCGGACGGGUGAGUAACACGUGGAUAACCUACCUAUAAGACUGGGAUAACUUCGGGAAACCGGAGCUAAUACCGGAUAAUAUAUUGAACCGCAUGGUUCAAUAGUGAAAGACGGUUUUGCUGUCACUUAUAGAUGGAUCCGCGCCGCAUUAGCUAGUUGGUAAGGUAACGGCUUACCAAGGCAACGAUGCGUAGCCGACCUGAGAGGGUGAUCGGCCACACUGGAACUGAGACACGGUCCAGACUCCUACGGGAGGCAGCAGUAGGGAAUCUUCCGCAAUGGGCGAAAGCCUGACGGAGCAACGCCGCGUGAGUGAUGAAGGUCUUCGGAUCGUAAAACUCUUUUAUUAGGGAAGAACAAAUGUGUAAGUAACUAUGCACGUCUUGACGGUACCUAAUCAGAAAGCCACGGCUAACUACGUG